CAUAAGAAUAUAAUAUAGCUGCGCUAUCAGCUUUAAGGUAUACGGUUGCUUAAUUCGUUUCGAGAUAAGAUUAUAAGAACGGAGUCGUUGCCAUAUAAACCACUCGUACGCGGACGGACGUUUCGACACAAUAAUAUUAAUUUGUAUCGUUCGGUUAUUAAAAAAAAAUAUGCAUAAAAUAUAGUAUACAGGGCGGAUUCUUAUUAAUAUACAGGGUUGUAAAAAAUUACACGUAUACACGUUCGGGAAACCCUCCACGAUUCUACUGCAUCGGCCUAUACAUUUUAGAGGCUUAUACCAGAUUUUUAGACAAAUAUUCCGUUUUCCAAUUUAAUAUAAUGUAUUCAGAGAGAACCUAUACAAUUAUAAUCACUCUAUAUAACUGUAUAAUAUUGUGUACAUUGUGUAUAAUAAACAUUAUACACAUUACAACAGCAGCUGUAGGUGCCUAUAUUUGUAUUUGUGGUUUUUUUUUUUUUUAUCUAGCCUUGGUCUAGGACGAUUGUGACCGAGACGAGAUAUCGGUGGAAUAAUAAUAAUAAUUAUUAUUGCGUUAAAUAUAAAAAGUCUAGCGAGUCGAUUGCUUAUCGGUAAUAAUAAUUUCUAUAUUACAAAGAGGUGAAAACUCGUGCGUGUUCGGUAUACCAACGAG